GGAUAUGGCUCAAUGGUAGACCAUUUGCUGAACAUGCAUGAGGCCCUGGGUUCAAUCCCCAGCACCA
rnacentral:tRNA from 1 species